AGCUUGCUCUCGGGUGACGAGCGGCGGACGGGUGAGUAAUGUCUGGGAAACUGCCUGAUGGAGGGGGAUAACUACUGGAAACGGUAGCUAAUACCGCAUAACGUCGCAAGACCAAAGUGGGGGACCUUCGGGCCUCAUGCCAUCAGAUGUGCCCAGAUGGGAUUAGCUAGUAGGUGGGGUAACGGCUCACCUAGGCGACGAUCCCUAGCUGGUCUGAGAGGAUGACCAGCCACACUGGAACUGAGACACGGUCCAGACUCCUACGGGAGGCAGCAGUGGGGAAUAUUGCACAAUGGGCGCAAGCCUGAUGCAGCCAUGCCGCGUGUGUGAAGAAGGCCUUCGGGUUGUAAAGCACUUUCAGCGGGGAGGAAGGCGAUAAGGUUAAUAACCUUGUCGAUUGACGUUACCCGCAGAAGAAGCACCGGCUAACUCCGUGCCAGCAGCCGCGGUAAUACGGAGGGUGCAAGCGUUAAUCGGAAUUACUGGGCGUAAAGCGCACGCAGGCGGUCUGUCAAGUCGGAUGUGAAAUCCCCGGGCUCAACCUGGGAACUGCAUUCGAAACUGGCAGGCUAGAGUCUUGUAGAGGGGGGUAGAAUUCCAGGUGUAGCGGUGAAAUGCGUAGAGAUCUGGAGGAAUACCGGUGGCGAAGGCGGCCCCCUGGACAAAGACUGACGC
rnacentral:rRNA from 1 species